UACGUAGGGUGCAAGCGUUGUCCGGAAUUAUUGGGCGUAAAGAGCUCGUAGGCGGUUUGUCGCGUCUGCUGUGAAAACUCGGGGCUUAACUCCGGGCCUGCAGUGGGUACGGGCAGACUAGAGUGCGGUAGGGGAGACUGGAAUUCCUGGUGUAGCGGUGAAAUGCGCAGAUAAUCAGGAGGAACACCGGUGGCGAAGGCGGGUCUCUGGGCCGUAACUGACGCUGAGGCGCGAAAGCGUGGGGAGCAACGGG
rnacentral:rRNA from 1 species